rnacentral:rRNA from 1 species
AGGAUUAACGCUGGCGGCGUGCCUAACACAUGCAAGUCGAACGAGGUAGCAAUACCUAGUGGCAGACGGGUGAGUAACGCGUGGUCAACCUACCGUUGAGUGGGGGAUAACUAGCCGAAAGGUUAGCUAAUACCGCAUACGAGUCUCGGGGGCAUCCCUGGGCCUUAAAAGGAGCAAUCCGCUCGAUGACGGGACCGCGUCCCAUUAGCUAGAUGGUGGGGUAAUGGCCUACCAUGGCACCGAUGGGUAGCUGGUUUGAGAGAGCGACCAGCCACACUGGGACUGAGAAACGGCCCAGACUCCUACGGGAGGCAGCAGUGAGGAUUUUCCGCAAUGGGCGAAAGCCUGACGGAGCGACGCCGCGUGUGGGAAGAAGGCCUUCGGGUCGUAAACCACUGUCGAAGGGGACGAUAAUGACGGUACCCUUGGAGGAAGCCCGGCUAACUACGUGCCAGCAGCCGC